AUUGAACGCUGGCGGCAUGCUUUUCACAUGCAAGUCGAACGGCAGCGCGGGGCAACCUGGCGGCGAGUGGCGAACGGGUGAGUAAUACAUCGGAACGUACCCAGAAGUGGGGGAUAACGUAGCGAAAGUUACGCUAAUACCGCAUACGUUCUACGGAAGAAAGUGGGGGACCUUCGGGCCUCAUGCUUUUGGAGCGGCCGAUGUCUGAUUAGCUAGUUGGUGAGGUAAAGGCUCACCAAGGCGACGAUCAGUAGCUGGUCUGAGAGGACGACCAGCCACACUGGGACUGAGACACGGCCCAGACUCCUACGGGAGGCAGCAGUGGGGAAUUUUGGACAAUGGGCGCAAGCCUGAUCCAGCAAUGCCGCGUGAGUGAAGAAGGCCUUCGGGUUGUAAAGCUCUUUUGUCAGGGAAGAAACGGCUGAGGAUAAUACCUUCGGCUAAUGACGGUACCUGAAGAAUAAGCACCGGCUAACUACGUG
rnacentral:rRNA from 1 species